GAUGAACGCUGGCGGCGUGCUUAACACAUGCAAGUCGAACGAUGAAGCCCAGCUUGCUGGGUGGAUUAGUGGCGAACGGGUGAGUAACACGUGAGUAACCUGCCCUUAACUCUGGGAUAAGCCUGGGAAACUGGGUCUAAUACAGGCUCGGAGCGUCCACCGCACGCUGGGUGUUGGAAAGAUUUAUCGGUUUUGGAUGGACUGGCGGCCUCUCAGCUUGUUGGUGAGGGAAUGGCGCACCAAGGCGACGCCGGGUACCCGACCUGAGCGGGGGACCGACCACAAGGGGACUGAGACACGGCCCAGACGCCAACGGGAGGCAGCAGGGGGGAAGAUGGCGCAAUGGGCCCAAGCCUGAUGCAGCGACGCCGCGUGAGGGAUGACGGCCUGCGGGGUGGAAACCUCUUUCAGUAGGGAAGAAGCGAAAGUGACGGUACCUGCAGAAGAAGCACCGGCUAACUACGUG
rnacentral:rRNA from 1 species